GUCGACGGUUAAGCAUCUUCGGAUGUGUAUAAAGUGGCGAACGGCUGAGUAACACGUGGGCAACCUGCCCUUUGCACUGGGAUAGCCUCGGGAAACCGAGGUUAAUACCGGAUACUCCAUAUUUGUCGCAUGGCGAAUAUGGGAAAGCUCCGGCGGCAAAGGAUGGGCCCGCGGCCUGUUAGCUAGUUGGUGGGGUAGUGGCCUACCAAGGCAAUGAUGGGUAGCCGGGUUGAGAGACCGACCGGCCAGAUUGGGACUGAGACACGGCCCAGACCCCUACGGGAGGCAGCAGUGGGGAAUCUUGCACAAUGGGCGAAAGCCUGAUGCAGCGACGCCGCGUGCGGGAUGAAGGCCUUCGGGUUGUAAACCGCUUUCAGCAGGGACGAGGCCGCAAGGUGACGGUACCUGCAGAAGAAGCCCCGGCUAACUACGUGCCAGCAGCCGCGGUAAUACGUAGGGGGCAAGCGUUAUCCGGAUUCAUUGGGCGUAAAGCGCGCGUAGGCGGUCUGUUAGGUCAGGAGUUAAAUCUGGGGGCUCAACCCCUAUCCGCUCCUGAUACCGGCAGGCUUGAGUCUGGUAGGGGAAGAUGGAAUUCCAAGUGUAGCGGUGAAAUGCGCAGAUAUUUGGAAGAACACCGGUGGCGAAGGCGGUCUUCUGGGCCAUGACUGACGCUGAGGCGCGAAAGCUAGGGGAGCGGACAGGAUUAGAUACCCUAGUAG
rnacentral:rRNA from 1 species